GACGAACGCUGGCGGCGUGCUUAGCACAUGCAAGUCGAACGGAAAGGCCCCGCUUUUGUGGGGUGCUCGAGUGGCGAACGGGUGAGUAACACGUGAGUAACCUGCCCUUGACUUUGGGAUAACUUCAGGAAACUGGGGCUAAUACCGGAUAGGAGCUCCUGCUGCAUGGUGGGGGUUAGAAAGUUUCGGCGGUUGGGGAUGGACUCGCGGCUUAUCAGCUUGUUGGUGGGGUAGUGGCUUACCAAGGCUUUGACGGGUAGCCGGCCUGAGAGGGUGACCGGCCACAUUGGGACUGAGAUACGGCCCAGACUCCUGCGGGAGGCAGCAGUGGGGAAUAUUGCACAAUGGGCGGAAGCCUGAUGCAGCAACGCCGCGUGCGGGAUGACGGCCUUCGGGUUGUAAACCGCUUUCGCCUGUGACGAAGCGUGAGUGACGGUAAUGGGUAAAGAAGCACCGGCUAACUACGUG
rnacentral:rRNA from 1 species